rnacentral:rRNA from 1 species
GAGUUUGAUCCUGGCUCAGGAUGAACGCUGGCGGCGUGCUUAACACAUGCAAGUCGAACGAACCUUCGGGUUAGUGGCGGACGGGUGAGUAACGCGUGGGAAUCUGCCCUCAGGAGGGGGAUAACGGUUGGAAACGACCGCUAAUACCCCAUAUGCCGAGAGGUGAAAUGAAUUUCGCCUGAGGAUGAGCCCGCGUCUGAUUAGCUUGUUGGUGAGGUAAUGGCUCCAAGGCUUCGAUCAGUAGCUGGUCUGAGAGGAUGAUCAGCCACACUGGGACUGAGACACGGCCCAGACUCCUACGGGAGGCAGCAGUGGGGAAUUUUCCGCAAUGGGCGAAAGCCUGACGGAGCAACGCCGCGUGAGGGACGAAGGCCUCUGGGCUGUAAACCUCUUUUCUCAAGGAAGAAGAUGUGACGGUACUUGAGGAAUAAGCCACGGCUAAUUCCGUGCCAGCAGCCGCGGUAAUACGGGAGUGGCAAGCGUUAUCCGGAAUUAUUGGGCGUAAAGCGUCCGCAGGCGGCCUUUCAAGUCUGCUGUUAAAACGUGGAGCUUAACUCCAUCAUGGCAGUGGAAACUGAUUGGCUUGAGUAUGGUAGGGGCAGAGGAAAUUCCCGGUGUAGCGGUGAAAUGCGUAGAUAUCGGGAAGAACACCAGUGGCGAAGGCGCUCUGCUGGGCCAUUACUGACGCUCAUGGACGAAAGCCAGGGGAGCGAAAGGGAUUAGAUACCCCUGUAGUCCUGGCCGUAAACGAUGAACACUAGGUGUCGGGGGAAUCGACCCCUUCGGUGUCGUAGCUAACGCGAUAAGUGUUCCGCCUGGGGAGUACGCACGCAAGUGUGAAACUCAAAGGAAUUGACGGGGGCCCGCACAAGCGGUGGAGUAUGUGGUUUAAUUCGAUGCAACGCGAAGAACCUUACCAGGGCUUGACAUCCUGCGAACCUUUAAGAAAUUAGAGGGUGCCUUCGGGAACGCAGUGACAGGUGGUGCAUGGCUGUCGUCAGCUCGUGUCGUGAGAUGUUGGGUUAAGUCCCGCAACGAGCGCAACCCUUAUUUUUAGUUGCUAAUUUAUUAGGUUUUCUAGAAAGACUGCCGGUGACAAACCGGAGGAAGGUGAGGAUGACGUCAAGUCAGCAUGCCCCUUAUGCCUUGGGCUACACACGUGCUACAAUGGUUAAGACAAAGAGUUGCGAGCUCGCGAGAGUCAGCUAAUCUCAUAAACUUAGCCUAAGUUCGGAUUGUAGGCUGCAACUCGCCUACAUGAAGUCGGAAUCGCUAGUAAUCGCUGGUCAGCCAUACAGCGGUGAAUCCGUUCCCGGGCCUUGCACACACCGCCCGUC